rnacentral:rRNA from 1 species
CCUACGGGAGGCAGCAGUGAGGAAUAUUGGUCAAUGGGCUUACGCCUGAACCAGCCAAGUCGCGUGAGGGAAGACUGCCCUAUGGGUUGUAAACCUCUUUUGUCAGGGAGCAAUUGGCGCUACGUGUAGCGUUAUCGAUAGUACCUGAAGACAAGGCAUCGGCUAACUCCGUGCCAGCAGCCUGGGUAAUACGGAGGAUGCGGGCGUUAUCCGGUUUUAUUGGGUUAAAAGGGUGCGUAGUCGGUAUGCCAAGUAAGCGGGAAAAUCGCGGGCGUCAACCUCGCUCCGCAGUUGAAACUGGCGUUCUUGAGUGGGCGAGAAGUAGGCGGAAUGCGUGGUGUAGCGGUGAAAUGCAUAGAUAUCACGCAGAACUCCGAUUGCGAAGGCAGCACACCGGAGUCCAACUGACGCUGAAGCACGAAAGCGUGGGUAUCGAACAGGAUUAGAUACCCUAGUAGUC